rnacentral:rRNA from 1 species
AUUGAACGCUGGCGGCAUGCCUUACACAUGCAAGUCGAACGGCAGCACGGGAGCUUGCUCCUGGUGGCGAGUGGCGAACGGGUGAGUAAUACAUCGGAACGUACCCAGUAGUGGGGGAUAACGCACCGAAAGGUGCGCUAAUACCGCAUACGACCUACGGGUGAAAGCGGGGGACCGUAAGGCCUCGCGCUAUUGGAGCGGCCGAUGUCUGAUUAGCUAGUUGGCGGGGUAAAAGCCCACCAAGGCGACGAUCAGUAGCUGGUCUGAGAGGACGAUCAGCCACACUCGGACUGAGACACGGCCCAGACUCCUACGGGAGGCAGCAGUGGGGAAUUUUGGACAAUGGGGGCAACCCUGAUCCAGCAAUGCCGCGUGUGCGAAGAAGGCCUUCGGGUUGUAAAGCACUUUUGUCAGGGAAGAAAUCUUUCAGGCUAAUACCCUUGGAAGGAUGACGGUACCCGAAGAAUAAGCACCGGCUAACUACGUGCCAGCCGCCGCGGUAA